GACGUAGGAGGCGAGCGUUGUCCGGAUUCAUUGGGCGUAAAGAGCUCGUAGGCGGUGUGUCGCGUCGGCCGUGAAAACCUGCAGCUUAACUGUGGGCUUGCGGUCGAUACGGGCAUCACUGGAGUUCGGCAGGGGAGACUGGAAUUCCUGGUGUAGCGGUGAAAUGCGCAGAUAUCAGGAGGAACACCGGUGGCGAAGGCGGGUCUCUGGGCCGAUACUGACGCUGAGGAGCGAAAGCGUGGGGAGCGAACAGG
rnacentral:rRNA from 1 species